UUGGGUCUAAAGAAUUCGCCGCAUUAUUCAAAUACUUGUACAACUUAGCUAUCUCCUCAAAAUAAUGAUUUGAAGUAACAUAUGAACUACUCGACAUCCUUUUGGUUGCAUCAUAAAACCGUCUCAGAAAUUUAGAAAAAAUGAUGGCAUUUUCCCAAUCUUCAUCUUCAGGAGGAUCAUUGUCAAUUUCCCUUAAGAAAUAUAAAUCUUCUUCUUCCAUUCUUUUAAAAGCUUUCUUGAACUUUA
rnacentral:lncRNA from 1 species